UACAGAGGGUGCGAGCGUUAAUCGGAGUUACUGGGCGUAAAGGGCGCGUAGGCGGAUUGGUGUGUGUGAUGUGAAAGCCCCGGGCUUAACCUGGGAAGCGCAUCGCAAACUACCGAUCUGGAGUAUAUGAGAGGGUGGCGGAAUUUCCGGUGUAGCGGUGAAAUGCGUAGAGAUCGGAAGGAACGUCAAUGGCGAAGGCAGCCACCUGGCAUAAUACUGACGCUGAGGCGCGAAAGCGUGGGGAGCGAACAGG
rnacentral:rRNA from 1 species